UACGUAGGGUGCGAGCGUUAAUCGGAAUUACUGGGCGUAAAGCGUGCGCAGGCGGUUCGCUAAGACCGAUGUGAAAUCCCCGGGCUUAACCUGGGAACUGCAUUGGUGACUGGCGGGCUAGAGUAUGGCAGAGGGGGGUAGAAUUCCACGUGUAGCAGUGAAAUGCGUAGAGAUGUGGAGGAACACCGAUGGCGAAGGCAGCCCCCUGGGUCAAAACUGACGCUCAUGCACGAAAGCGUGGGGAGCAAACAGG
rnacentral:rRNA from 1 species